GCCUGUUUGAGUCGUCUGGGUUUGAUGAUGGGGUACAUGCACAGGUCAAUGAUGAACAUGUGCAAGGUGGGGGUGUGGCUAUGGAGACUGCUGAUUUAAAGGCUGUACAACCCGGACCCCACUGGCUUCAAGAGUAUGCCAUCUAUCUGACCGGAUUGAAUCUGACCUUCCUACACGUCGGAGAGGACAGUGAGCUGGAGGUGGACACUGCUAUGAGAGACGACGGAUGGCCUGUAUCAAUACAGAUCCGUUUAAACCCUGCAUCGCUGGCUGUUCUGCGAUUUACCAUGGGGCUCUGUGUGGUGGCCAUCAUCAACCAUCAGAAGCAAGCGGACUGCUGGGGAUGCCAGUGUGAUUGCCCAAGUCAACGACGCCAUUCAUGCCUGCAGGGAGCGACACAUCAUCACUACGAAUCCCACUACCAUGACAUUUGUGUCAUCCUGGACAGACACCCCUUCCUGUUACUUUUAGAAACUGUUCUAAAGAAGACUACAGGGUUGACUGUGUCCCCCGGAAAAAUCUAUGGUGUGGUCGAAUCUUAUCUAUGUGAUUUAAUAUGCAAUACCUAUAAUACCGAAAAACUGGAUUUAAUGACCACCGAAGGUGUGUCCGAUGAACAUCUGCUUCUGAUACAUGAAGCCAUACAAAUGUGGCGUCCUACAUUGUCAUUAGGCAAACCAAAGCCUGGUGGUGGGUGGCGUUUAUAAUGGGGGUGUUGUUUUCUUAUGUCUAUGAUGCGGAUAGCAAGAUUGUAUCAGAUAGACUAUCCGUUUUGAUGUAUGCUGCCAUAGAAAAUGAUACAUAUGUCCAGCAUAAUGCCUAUAUCAAAUGCACGUAUAAGGGUUGGAAUGAUCUGGUCAUGAAAUUCUUGUAUGAUAAACCUACUGAUCAAAUGUUAGCUGAAAUAUUUCCCCAUUUCCCCGAUGGUGACUGUUUUACCAUCGGACAUGUCAUGUGUAUAUGUGCUUUUGUAUCGGAUGUCUUGAAGUUGAAUAAUGCCUCAAACGCCGAGGGUAUUAGAACUGCUAGAAUGAUGGCUUGUAAAAUGGUGCAGAAAAAUAAAACUGCAUGUAGGCUUUAUCUGAGAAUUGUUUUGAGUGGACAGACAUUUUAAAUAAAAGGAUGGAUAACUCUGAUCAGUGUUUCAGUAUUCGUUUUUUGUUGCA
ensembl:lncRNA